rnacentral:misc_RNA from 1 species
GAUGAAGAACGCAGCGAAAUGCGAUACUUGGUGUGAAUUGCAGAAUCCCGUGAACCAUCGAGUCUUUGAACGCAAGUUGCGCCCGAAGCCAUUAGGCCGAGGGCACGCCUGCCUGGGCGUCACACGUCGUUGCCCCCCCAUCUACUCCUUCGGGAUUGCGGGGGGCGGAUGAUGGCCUCCCGUGCGCCUCGUCGCGCGGUUGGCAUAAAUGCCAAGUCUUCGGCGACGCACGCCACGACAAUCGGUGGUUGCGAAACCUCGGUUGCCCGUCGUGUGCGGUCGUCGCGCAUCGAGGGCUCGAAAAAAUUGCCGGGCUCCGGCUCGACUUUCAACGCGACCCCAGGUCAGGCGGGGUUACCCGCUGAAUUUAAGCAUAUCAAUAAGCGGAGGA